AUGCGUCGCUGCCUCUAUCAGUAUGCGUCUAUUUGUGUCAAUGCCAUGCUAGUGUUUUACUCGUGGAUUAAUUUAAUCGAGAAAUUGCCUAUUUACUCAACAAUCCAAAAACCUAUUAUGUGUAGGAAUUUCUCGGCAAGUGGCUUUGCCGCUGCACUGAAACCGGAUAUGUUUACCGGUUCGUAUUUUAAGCGUUGGCAGACUAAGACCACUUUAUGGCUCACGGCUAUGAACGUGUUCUGGGUCACUGGUGUCUCCACGGAAACGAUUGCUCCUGAACAGGAGAAGGCGUUCAAGGAGGCUACCGUUGUGUUUCUCGGAGCAGUUUUUAGCGUGAUCGGAGAUAAACUGGUCGACGCAUAUUUACAUGUGCAUGUCGCCAAGGACUUGUGGGAGGCGCUCGAAUCUAAGUUCGGGGCAGCCGAUGCCGGGAGCGAGAUGUAUAUUAUAGAGCAGUUCCACGAUUACAAGAUGGUUGAAAACCGUCCUGUAUUGGAGCAGACUCAUGAGAUAAUAUGCAUUGUUAAGGAGCUUGAACUUCUUAAGUGCGAGUUACCGGGCUAG
rnacentral:rRNA from 1 species